rnacentral:tRNA from 1 species
CGGGGCGUAGCGCAGCCUGGUAGCGCACGCGGUUCGGGACCGCGGUGUCGGAGGUUCAAAUCCUCUCGCCCCGA